CCUACGGGAGGCAGCAGUAGGGAAUUUUCGUCAAUGGGCGCAAGCCUGAACGAGCGAUGCCGCGUGAGUGAAGAAGGCCUUCGGGUCGUAAAGCUCUGUUUCGGGGGAAAAAAGGCAGCAUCAGGAAAUGGGUGCUGACUGAUGGUGCCCCGCCAGAAAGUCACGGCUAACUACGUGCCAGCAGCCGCGGUAAUACGUAGGUUGCGAGCGUUAUCCGGAAGGAUUGGGCGUAAAGGGGGCGCAGGCGGUCCUGCAAGUCUGGAGUGAAACGCAUGAGCUCAACUCAUGCAUGGCUUUGGAAACUGGAGGACUGGAGAGCAGGAGAGGGCGGUGGAACUCCAUGUGUAGCGGUAAAAUGCGUAGAUAUAUGGAAGAACACCAGUGGCGAAGGCGGCCGCCUGGCCUGUUGCUGACGCUGAGGCACGAAAGCGUGGGGAGCAAAUAGGAUUAGAUACCCCUGUAGUC
rnacentral:rRNA from 1 species